ACUUGUUAGUUGCCAUCAUUCAGUUGGGCGACUCUAGCGAGACUGCCGGUAAUAAACCGGAGGAAGGUGGGGAGUGACGUCAAAUCAUCAUGCCCCUUAUGACCUGGGCUACACACGUGCUACAAUGGUUGGUACAACGAGUUGCGAGUCGGUGACGGCGAGCUAAUCUCUUAAAGCCAAUCUCAGUUCGGAUUGUAGGCUGCAACUCGCCUACAUGAAGUCGGAAUCGCUAGUAAUCGCGGAUCAGCACGCCGCGGUGAAUACGUUCCCGGGCCUU
rnacentral:rRNA from 1 species